rnacentral:rRNA from 1 species
AUUGAACGCUGGCGGCAUGCCUUACACAUGCAAGUCGAACGGCAGCACGGGAGCAAUCCUGGUGGCGAGUGGCGAACGGGGUGAGUAAUAUAUCGGAACGUGCCCAGUAGUGGGGGAUAGCCCGGCGAAAGCCGGAUUAAUACUGCAUGAGACCUGAGGGUGAAAGCGGGGGAUCGCAAGACCUCGCGCUAUUGGAGCGGCCGAUAUCAGAUUAGCUAGUUGGUGGGGUAAAGGCCUACCAAGGCAACGAUCUGUAGUUGGUCUGAGAGGACGACCAGCCACACUGGGACUGAGACACGGCCCAGACUCCUACGGAGGCAGCAGUGGGGAAUUUUGGACAAUGGGCGCAAGCCUGAUCCAGCAAUGCCGCGUGCAGGAAGAAGGCC